CCCGCCCCGGACCCUCCCAGCCCCAGCCUCAGCCUGCCCCUCCGCACAGUGGGCUUGAAGGUGGGGUCCCGGGCCCCGCCCCCCGCUUCCGCCUGCAGGAGCUCUGCGCGCGCGCACGUUGCCGGAGGUGCCCCCACCGGGUCCUGGCGCCCCGGGCAAGCCCCCGGCAGGCACACGGCGACUGCAGGGACCCUGAACCCCACUCGGCCGCACCCAGAUGCCCCCAGGAGUGCAGACGCGGAGCUCGAUGACACGCGGGGACGCAGACCUGGACACGUGCUCAGGAGCCACCCAGCUCCGCAGAUGCAACAGAUACCCCGGAUGCAGACACCUGCCCUCCAGUCCUCCCACCCUACGUCCUGUGGCGACCCGCCUGCAGACCCCAGGGCCUGGGCGGCGCAGGGCAUAGCGGGUGUCCUCCCCCCCAUUCCACAUUCCAGGGACACGCACGGACCACAACACGACCACGACGGCGGGAUAGCUGGCCCGCAGCCGGACUGCUAACACUUCCGAGGCCACCACACCGCCUCCCCCCUUCGGUGGCGUGGCCCCCAGAUCUGGGGCGUCAGUGGGCAGCGACCCCUCGGGAAGUCUGGGUCCAGCUCCAGCCCCUCUGCCCUGCCUUGGUCACUCCCGGGGCCUCCCAACAGCUCCCCGGAGAAGGAGGAGGCUCAGAGCACCGUCUCGGCCACGCUGUGGUCGUCCAGGAACUGGGUGAUGAGUCUGGGGGACUGCGGGCCUGGCACAGGGUCCGCACCCGCUUCUCCCACCGGCUCGUCUUCCUCCUCCCCCUGAUCCUUGGAGAAGUACAGGAAUACCUAGCGGUGGGCGGCCCAAGGAAGCAGGAGGGGAGGUCAGCUUGAGGGCUUGGCCCCCAGCCCCACCUUUACCCCCAGCCCCAUCCUGGGGCUGCAGUCACCUCCUCCAGCGUGGUCUGGCUCACAGAGAAGUCCUCCACGCCGUGCUCCGGGCCUCGCGCCGCCAGCUCUCCAAAGACGAGUGCCAGGGCACAGCACCCUCCCGGUGGCAGCUGGAAGCGCAGGCGGCCACCGUGCGCCUCCCGCAGCUCGGCCCCCGGGAACGCCGCUGCCACGAAGGCUGCCGCAGACUUGGACCGCGACAAGGGCACCCGCAGGAGCCAACGCGGCGGCGCUUGAUCUCCCCUCCGGCCCCACCCACAGCCCACCGCGAGCUGCCUGCACCCAGGCCGCGAGGCCUCACCCCGCUCACCUGCCCUUGAGGUGCUGCGCGCUGCCCAGGCAGC